rnacentral:tRNA from 1 species
GCGCCCUUAGCUCAGGGGAUAGAGCAUCUGUCUACGAAACAGAGGGCCGCAGGUUCAAAUCCUGCAGGGCGCA